UGGGGAAUAUUGGGCAAUGGGCGAAAGCCUGACCCAGCAACGCCGCGUGAGGGAAGAAGGUUUUCGGAUUGUAAGCCUCUGUCCUUGGGGACGAAAAAAAUGACGGUACCCAAGGAGGAAGCCCCGGCUAACUACGUGCCAGCAGCCGCGGUAAUACGUAGGGGGCGAGCGUUGUCCGGAAUUACUGGGCGUAAAGGGUGCGUAGGCGGUUGUCUAAGUCAGAUGUGAAAUCCCCGGGCUCAACUCGGGUGGUGCAUUUGAAACUGGGCAACUAGAGUGCAGGAGAGGGAAGCGGAAUUCCUAGUGGAGCGGUGAAAUGCGUAGAUAUUAGGAGGAACACCAGUGGCGAAGGCGGCUUUCUGGACUGUAACUGACGCUGAGGCACGAAAGCGUGGGGAGCAAACAG
rnacentral:rRNA from 1 species